ensembl:lncRNA
UUUUUUUUUUUUUUUUGUCCUAUCCUCUUCCUCAGACCACUUAUCUCUGCCCCCUCCUCUCUGCCGGCACCAUCACAGCCUUCCUCUGAUCUGCCCCUUUAAGAAAAAUCAGCCCUCUCCGCUCCUAACCCUCCGCACACUGACCUUACACACUGGACAAUAUUUAAGGAUCAAGGUGCCAUCCUAUAAAGAGGGAACCAAGAGUUCACGUAGAUUUACAAACGAGGGCUUGCUGGAGAAAGUAACUGUAAGAACAUGUGUUAAAAACGCAGCAGAAAGAAUUCCAUCGAUUUCCAUGAGAGGUGGACCACAUCCAGGAAGAAUGAGUCAACUUCAUUCCUUGGGCAGAACUCACCAAGCUGAGGAGAAUUACACCAGGCAUGCCUUCAGAUCACCUUGUGUCCCCCCUCUUCGUGUACUGCUGUCCCACUAAUAACCUCUAAAAUGUGUUUAUGGCUUAGGACAGGGUGGGAAUUCUUCUAAAAAUGGCUUUUAAUCCCCGGAAAAUAACGUUUUAGGAAAUAUAUUCUCCCCUCGGUGUCACAUCAAUUGCAGAUAACUGUAUGAGCCUAAAAGCCUCUCACACACAGGACAGGACUGUCCAAGGCAGAACAGCUCAGAGCUCAAGGAAGGUGAAAGGCAGAAUUUACCCAUCACAGGGAUCCAUUCCUCUGUUCUGGCUGCUAAACCCCAUUUCUCCCUUCCCCACAAUUCUGGUGUUGAACUGAGCAAGGUUUUUGUUUCAUUUGUACAGAGGAGGUGAAAACUUUUGAAGGUGCUGCAAUAUUUCCUCCCCAGCUCCCUUCUCUCAGGCUAGGGUGACUCUGCUCACCCCCUCAGAAUGAGCAGAAGGUUGAAUUGAGAGAGAAACCUUUCUCCACUCACAAAUGCACAUUUAUUGUGGGGUUUUUUUACAGGUGGAAGAACAAACUACUCAUUUCUUUCAGAGAUCUGUGUUGAAAGAGCAAUGGACAAGUACUGUUAGAGUUCUGCUCUUUGCAUCCCAAGCUUCACACAGACCCUCCUGUACUUUAUUAACACAAAAAUGACACAUCAAACAUCUAACAGGGAGCUCAUCAGGCUUCUCCACCUUGCUGGUGGCUUUUUAGCCUAGAAAUUGGCCAAAUGAGAGCUUGUUGCAGCCCCAAAGGGACACCACAAUUUUGUUGUGAGGUGCAGACCAUGAUAAGCUCAUCAAUGAAUAGUUAAAAAACAAGCUUCAAAAGUGUGGUUAGAAAAUGAAAUGCAAAUAUAUACAAAAUAGCCAAUGGUUCCUGCGGAUAUAAAUGCUUGCCUACCUCAUGAGUGCUAUUUUCCAGCCAGCUUUCCAAGCAGAGCAGCCCUUGCACUCCUGUAUCUACAAUUGUGCCAUUUAUAAGCCAGGAGCCCACCUCGCCCAAGCACUGGUUCCUGCAGUGACUCAUGUUCCACUGGGUUUUUCCUGGGGAGAUUUGUGCUAAAACAGAGGAAAGAGCAGAAUUUUGGGGAAGUAAUGGCCCAGAUGGGAAAGCAUCAGACACUCUCACUGUUCCUUGUCAAAAAACCUGAAAACACUGCUUUACAGCCUGUGUGAGAGAAAGGCUUUUACAAUUGGUAUUAAAAUAAAAUAUUACACUGACACCUGGGUUAAACA